UUGGGGUGCCUGGUGUAGGCCUUCGAGCCAACAGCCUCGGCCGGGCUUCGGGAAUGGGAAAGCCCAAGGGCUGCUCCACCAAGUUCAGGGUGCCGCCCGUCGCUGCCAGCCCCCUCUGUGUCACCUCGGGGACACCAGCGUUCCUGCCUGCCCUGGCACAUGGGACAAAUGCACCUGCUUGCAGUAAAGAAGGAAAGAAACGGGGUGGCUUACUGAGGAUCCCUUGUUCUGGGAGGGCUGGUAUCGUCACCCCAGUAUGGACAGUUAACAUCUGAGAGCUUGGCUGCUUCAACUGACUCAAGUCAAAAGAGGGAAUUUGUGCAGGUUCCAGCUGCCUGGUUUGGUCUUGUCCUCGUGGGCAAAAUUCCUUGGGCGCAGGCUCUCCAUCCAGUGCUGCUUCCUAAAGAGCUGACAACUACAACCCAGAAAAAGGGCAUUUUCACUGAUUCAACUCCAGCUUCUCAGAGCACUUCAGCAAAAACCUUCUCUUACACUGCAGUUAUUUGUGUGUUCUACAUUCUUGACUUUAUUUUUCUUUGACUUUUUCGGUUUUUUUGGGUUGCACCUCAUUGAGGAGUUACGUUUAUGUUUGAGGCUUUUUACAGACUCCACAACCAGCUGAAGUUCAGAUAUUCCAUAUAUAGAGUAUAUAUGCCUUUCUCAGAUAGCUUUGUGCUCUGCAGUAAAUUAUGUCUUCCUUGAAUGUGAUCUAGCAAAGCAUAUGGUAUUCCUUAAGCAAAAAGUAGAGCCAUCAUUCAUGUAAACUGGUUAAUCUCUGCAAUUCUUCAAAUUUUCUGUAUUCACCACAUUCAGAACAAGAAUGGAAUAAUUAUAAAAGCAAUCAUAACCAUAAUCAUUAUUAUUAAAACUUUUUUUAAA